AAGCAGUGGAGUUAUGUUGGUUUAAUUACGAAGCAACGACGAAGAACCUUACCAGGUCUUGACAUCCCGAUGCUAUUCUAGAGAUAGAAAGUUACUUCGGUACAUCGGUGACAGGUGGUGCAUGGUUGUCGUCAGCUCGUGUCGUGAGAUGUUGGGUUAAGUCCCGCAACGAGCGCAACCCCUAUUGUUAGUUGCCAUCAUUCAGUUGGGCACUCUAGCGAGACUGCCGGUAAUAAACCGGAGGAAGGUGGGAUGACGUCAAAUCAUCAUGCCCCUUAUGACCUGGGCUACACACGUGCUACAAUGGUUGGUACAACGAAAGUUGCGAGUCGGUGACGGCGAGCUAAUCUCUUAAAGCCAAUCUCAGUUCGGAUUGUAGGCUGCAACUCGCCUACAUGAAGUCGGAAUCGCUAGUAAUCGCGGAUCAGCACGCCCGCGGUCCGAAUACGUUCCGGGCCUU
rnacentral:rRNA from 1 species